rnacentral:rRNA from 1 species
GAUGAACGCUGGCGGCGUGCUUAACACAUGCAAGUCGAACGAAGCACUUUAUUUGAUUUCCUUCGGGACUGAUUAUUUUGUGACUGAGUGGCGGACGGGUGAGUAACGCGUGGGUAACCUGCCUUGUACAGGGGGAUAACAGUUGGAAACGGCUGCUAAUACCGCAUAAGCGCCCAGCAUCGCAUGAUGCAGUGUGAAAAACUCCGGUGGUAUAAGAUGGACCCGCGUUGGAUUAGCUAGUUGGUGAGGUAACGGCCCACCAAGGCGACGAUCCAUAGCCGAGCUGAGAGGGUGACCGGCCACAUUGGGACUGAGACACGGCCCAAACUCCUACGGGAGGCAGCAGUGGGGAAUAUUGCACAAUGGGCGAAAGCCUGAUGCAGCGACGCCGCGUGAGCGAAGAAGUAUUUCGGUAUGUAAAGCUCUAUCAGCAGGGAAGAUAAUGACGGUACCUGACUAAGAAGCACCGGCUAAAUACGUG